rnacentral:rRNA from 1 species
GACGAACGCUGGCGGCGUGCCUAAUACAUGCGAGUUGAGCGAUGAAGCUUGGUGCUUGCCCCAAUUUGAAGAGCAGCGAACGGGUGAGUAACGCGUGGGGAAUCUGCCUUUGAGCGGGGGACAACAUUUGGAAACGAAUGCUAAUACCGCAUAACAACUUUAAACAUAAGUUUUAAGUUUGAAAGAUGCAAUUGCAUCACUCAAAGAUGAUCCCGCGUUGUAUUAGCUAGUUGGUGAGGUAAAGGCUCACCAAGGCGAUGAUACAUAGCCGACCUGAGAGGGUGAUCGGCCACAUUGGGACUGAGACACGGCCCAAACUCCUACGGGAGGCAGCAGGAGGGAAUCUUCGGCAAGGGACGAAAGUCUGACCGAGCAACGCCGCGUGAGUGAAGAAGGGUGUCGGAUCGUAAAACUCUGUUGGUAGAGAAGAACGUUGGUGAGAGUGGAAAGCUCAUCAAGUGACGGUAACUACCCAGAAAGGGACGGCUAACUACGUG